rnacentral:rRNA from 1 species
AGAGAGUGCGAGCGUUAAUCGGAAUUACUGGGGCGUAAAGCGCGCGUAGGCGGGCAUUUAAGUCGGAUGUGAAAGCCCUGGGGCUUAACCUGGGGAAUUGCAUUCGAUACUGGGUGCCUAGAGUAUGGUAGAGGGAAGUGGAAUUUCCGGUGUAGCGGUGAAAUGCGUAGAUAUCGGAAGGAACACUAGUGGCGAAGGCGACUUCCUGGACCAAUACUGACGCUGAGGUGCGAAAGCGUGGGGAGCAAACAGGAUUAGAGACCCUGGUAGUCCACGCCGUCAACGGUGAGAACUAGAUGUUGGCCCCGCUAAUAUAUUUCAUAUUUUGGAAUAUAUUAUCGGGGUUAGUAUCGAAGCUAACGCGUUAAGUUCUCCGCCUGGGGAGUACGGCCGCAAGGUUA